AUGAGACAGCAGUGUUUUUACUUAGACUUUGAAAUGUAUCUUGACAGCUUCACUUUAUAGUAGUCAGGGGAAACAAAACAGAGCAGCCCUUUCAGGUGAAUUUUAUCCAAGUCUUUGAGUUAAAAAACUGAGGCUUAACGAGGUUGGGUGACUUGCCUAAGGUCCUGUAGCUGGUAACAUGCAGAACAUGCGGACUGGGUCGUUGUGAGCCCAGAACCUCUGACAUUUGUCCUUUGUCUCUCUGCUACACUACACGGCCUCAAAGCAGUGUAGCAGGUGCAGAGAGUAGGGUCAGUGUUAGAAGUGAGCUACUUUACAUGGGGCUCGUUUCAUUUUUGGUUAAAUAUCUUUAAAGGCCUUAGAAUAUCCAUGUUGUCUAAGGGAAAGAAGUUUAGUGUGUCUUCAACAUUGGCAGUGUGCCAUACAUGGAUCAGGAGCCAUUUUCUGUAAUGAUUUAUUUAUCUAGACCAAUGAUGUUAUAGGAUCAGAACAUUAAAAGUGGAUCUUUUAAGACUUAGAGGUUAUUUAAUCCACAAUUUCUUGAUUCCAUCCAUCCUGUGUAUGAUCAUCCACAUUCUUUUCUGAUACCUCCAAAGACAUAUCUAGCAAACCAUCCCGGUUUUUUUAUAAAAUGCAAGUAUUAAGUUCUUUAUUUCUAGAUUUUGAGCCAAAAUUCAUUUCCCUGUGGAUUUAUUCUUUGUUUUCACAUACUACUUACCAAGUAUUCCUUGAGUACCUACUGAGUUUCAGUAACUGAGGAUCAUAAUCGUAAACAAGACAUGUGUAGUACCUGCCUGUAAGCAGUUUGUAAUUAUGUAGAGGUUACAGACAGGUAGCCAGGUCAUUAAAAUGUUAUGUUAUGAAUACUAGAAAGUUCCUCUGUUGGUUUUUGUUCAGCCUAUUGUAGCCACAGAAACUAAGUUGGAUCUCUGUUAUACAUGACAGCUUUUCAGUGAUUUUAAAACAGCCAUGAAAAUUCCCACCCUGGUCUCUUCUUUCCUCCUUGUAUCUCAAACAUUUUACAUUCUCCUUUACAUGACCUGAAUUUUUUUUCUUUAAAAAAAAUUUGUUUUUUAGUUGUCUUGGUCACAGGUCUUGCGAUAUCAUGUUGUACCUCUGGAGCCAUUUAAAAAUGGGACACAUUGUGGUAGGCAGCCUCUGAGAUGGCUCCUGAUGAUCCUUGUCUCCUGUUAUUCAUGCCCUUGAGUGUAACCUAUACAUAACAUAUGGCAAAUGAUUGAUGUCACUUCUAAGAUUAAGUUACAAAGAGAUUAGUCCUUCUUGCUUGCUCUCUCCUGCUCUUUCUGGUUCUCAUGGAAGCCAGCUGCCAUCUUGUGAGCCACUUUAUGGAGAGGCCUAUGUGGUGAGGAACUGAGGGAAGCCACUUCAGUGGCUGUUAAGGAACUGAAGCCCUCAGGUAGCUCAGUAACCUCUGAGGAGUGAGUCUAGUCGACAUGAGAGAGCAUGGAGUUCCACAGGUCCUUCCUCUGUCAGUCUUACGGAUGAGACCGUAGUCCCACCACACCUUGAUUUCAUCCUGUGAGACACCUUUCAGUAGAGGCGCCAAGCUAAGCUAUACCAAGAUUUCUGAUCCACAGAAAUUCUGAGAUAAUAAAGGUUUACUGUGUUACGCUAUUAAGUUUUGGCGUAAUUUGUUAUACAGUAGAUAACCAAUAUACAUAUGUAAUGUGAUAACUACAGAAUUGUAUUUCCUUCCUCUUCUGGUCACUGUUCCAUAAAGGGUGAACUUCUGACAGGCCACUUUAUACUGUGGGCUCAUGUGGAGCAGUGAGCUCAAACCCCUUAAUGAUUCUCACUUGAGUUAUUAUUAAACUAUGUCUCCUGUAAUUUUGAAGCUGUUGCUUUUCUUGGUGUGGGGUAGAGAGGGGGGGUUAUUUUGUUUUUAGCCUAAAUGCUGGACUGCAGGUUAUUCAUCUCAUUAAGUCCAUCAUCUCAACUCAUCAAGACAUUUUGAAAUCCCAGUAGUCAUUAUAUAUAUAUUUUUAAAAUAUAAUGCUAAGCCCAUGAGAGAAACAGGAGGGUGAGUCCCAUGUACCAGAAGCAAAGACAGAAUUAAAACUCAAAAUGAUAUGCAUACUACCUGACAUGGUAGCUAUCUUGGGGAGAAAAACAGAACUUCUAAUAGGUAAAAGCUUUUGUAUGAACAUUCACUUAGGGACAAAAGAUGAGACCUAGGACUUGAGUGAGAUAGGAAGUUGCAACUCAUAUUUACAUAUAAAGAUGAAAUGCAUAAAGGACUAUAGCCCCAUGAAAAAGAGGAUCCAUACUCUCCACUUACUAGCCCAGAAGACCAUAGCAUAAUUUAUUCCUGAUCUCAAAUCUGGAUCGAAGGGAAGAAUCUUCCAGGUAAAUGAAAAUUACAACCUAAAAUUUUGGAUUUGGAACACAAAUUUAAAUCAUUCAUGCUAGAAGCUUCAGCUUAAGAAUUUAACGUAUGAAUUGGUCCUGGGCCAGGGGUAUCCUCCUGGUAUCUACUAGAAAUAAAUUCAAAAGCUCUCUUCAACAAGACAAGUCACACAAAGAUCUCACAGCAAAAACAAGCCCCACUUAAGAUGAAUUCAUAAUAAUAAAAAUAAGAUUACAAAAGUUAAAAGGAAUCAAUCCAACAGAUAUCGAAAAUGGAGGUGAAAUAAAAAAUUUUUCGGGCAUAAAAAACAGAGAAUUCAUAGACCUGCACUUAAGGAAAUGUUAAAGGAAGUCCUUCAGGAAGGAAGUAAAUGAUGCCAGAGGAAGAUAGGGAUCUACACAAAAGGAUGAAGAACAGCAGGCAUGGUUACUAUAAGAUUUUUCGUUAUUAUUUAAAUCUUAUAAAAAGACAAUUUGCUUUUUAACUAAAAGUAAUAAAGUAGCAUGAGGGUCAUAACAUGUAAAAUUAAAAUGUUUGACAUCAGUAGUAACACAAAAGCCAAGAAGUGGGGAGAAAUGGAAAUGUAUGCUGUUGUUGUAAGAUUCUUAUGCUACACAUGAAGUGGAGUAGAAUCACUUGAAGGAAGACUAUGGUAAGUUAAAGAUGUAUACUUCUGGCCCUAAAGCAGCCAUAAAAGAACAAAUCCAAAAGUUACUACUAAUUUGCCAGCCAAGGAGAUAAAAUGGAAUCAUUAAAAUCAUUCUCACUGAACUCCUCUUCCCCUGCCAAAAAAAAAGAGUAAGAGGGAAAAAUA